AUCUUGCAUGUUGGCUAGACUAGAAAUCAAACAACUUGGAAAUCGAUCACAACCAGGCAUUAAGUUCACAAUACCUUUGUCUGGAUAUGGAGGAACAAGCAAUCUUAUUUUGGAAGGCGUUAAAAAAUUAUCUGACAGUUACAUGGUAACAGUGAAUGGCUUAAAACCUGGCAAAGAAAGUAAAGUUGUUUUUUCUGUCCGCAACACUGGCUCCCGAGCAGCUUUUGUUAAAGCAGUAGGUUUUAAGGAUUCUCAGAAAAAAGUUUUGCUGGAUCCUAAAGUAUUGAGGAUUUUUCCAGAUAAAUUUGUACUCAAGGAAAGAACACAAGAAGAUGUUACUUUAAUAUAUAAUCCAUCAGACAGAGGAAUCAAUAAUAAAACUGCAACAGAACUAUCAACUGUAUACUUAUUUGGUGGAGAUGAAAUUUCAAGACAGCAGUAUCGCAGGGUCAUUGGAAUGUUUUACAAGAGGGAAUUUAAUGGCGACUUGCUACAUGAUGUUAGAACAGACCAAAUAAAAAGCUUGCCUUUGAACCUGUUUUUGUUUCUUAAUUAAGUGUUUUGGAAAUAGAAACUGACAUUUGGAGAAAUCACAUUAUGAGGGCCCUGUUACAUAAACCAGAGAUGUUAAAACAGAUACUUCCAGAACAUAGUGUGCUUCAAAACAUUAAUUUUGUUGAAGCAUUUCAAGAUGAGCUAUUAGUAACUGAAGUAUAUGAUCUUCCCCAACGACCUAAUGAUGUUCAGCUCUUUUAUGGAAGCAUGUGUAAAAUUAUACUUUCAGUAAUUGGAGAAUUCAGAGAUUGCAUUUCUAGCAGAGAAUUCCUUCAGCCUUCUUCCAGAGCUAGCUUGGACUCUACAAGCGACUUGGGAGCUUCUGGGAAACAUGGUGGCAACGUCUCUUUGGAUGUUUUACCGGUCAAAGGUCCUCAGGGUUCUCCUCUUCUCUCACAGGCGGCUCGCCCGCCUCCGGAUCAGCUGGCCUCCGAAGAGCCAUGGACUGUCCUACCUGAGCACUUGAUUCUGGUAGCUCCUUCUCCUUAUGACAUGGCAAAAACUGGACGUUUCCAGAUUGUGAAUAACUCUCUGAAGUUACUGAGAUUUGAGCUGUGCUGGCCAGCGCAUUGCCUCACAGUCACGCCGCAACAUGGAAAUGUCGCGCCAGAGAGUAAACUACAAAUUCUUGUGAGUCCUAAUUCCUCCUUAUCCACAAAACAGUCAAUGUUCCCGUGGAGCGGUUUGAUCUAUAUACACUGUGAUGAUGGACAGAAGAAAAUUGUGAAAGUUCAAAUUCGAGAAGAUUUAACUCAAGUGGAACUUUUAACUCGUUUGACCUCCAAACCAUUUGGAAUUCUUUCCCCAGUAUCUGAGCCUUCAGUUAGUCAUUUGGUCAAACCAAUGACAAAACCGCCUUCCACAAAAGUUGAAAUAAGAAACAAGAGUAUUACUUUUCCUACAACAGAACCUGGUGAAACUUCAGAGAGCUGUCUGGAACUCGAGAAUCAUGGCACCACAGACGUAAAAUGGCAUCUGUCAUCUUUAGCGCCACCUUAUGUCAAGGGAGUUGAUGAAAGUGGAGAUGUUUUUAGAGCUACCUAUGCAGCAUUCAGAUGUUCUCCUAUUUCUGGUCUACUGGAAAGCCAUGGGAUCCAAAAAGUCUCCAUCACAUUUUUGCCCAGAGGUAGGGGGGAUUAUGCCCAGUUUUGGGAUGUUGAAUGUCACCCUCUUAAGGAGCCUCACAUGAAACACACAUUGAGAUUCCAACUCUCUGGACAAAGCAUCGAAGCAGAAAAUGAGCCUGAAAACGCAUGCCUUUCCACGGAUUCCCUCAUUAAAAUAGAUCAUUUAGUGAAGCCCCGAAGACAAGCUGCGUCAGAGGCCUCUGCUCACAUACCUGAGCAGCUUGAUGUGACUGCUCGUGGAGUUUAUGCCCCAGAGGAUGUGUACAGGUUCCUGCCGACUAGUGUGGGGGAAUCACGGACACUUAAAGUCAAUCUGCGAAAUAAUUCUUUUAUUACACACUCACUGAAGUUUUUGAGUCCCAGAGAGCCAUUCUAUGUCAAACAUUCCAAGUACUCUUUGAGAGCCCAGCAUUACAUCAACAUGCCCGUGCAGUUCAAACCGAAGUCCGCAGGCAAAUUUGAAGCUUUGCUUGUCAUUCAAACAGAUGAAGGCAAGAGUAUUGCUAUUCGACUAAUUGGUGAAGCUCUUGGAAAAAAUUAACUAAAAUACAUUUUUGUGUAAAUUACAUAAGUUGUAUUUUGUUAACUUUAUCUUUCUACACUACAAUUAUGCUUUUGUAUAUAUAUUUUGUAUGAUGGAUAUCUAUAAUUGUAGAUUUUUUUUUACAAGCUAAUACUGAAGACUUGACUGAAAUAUGUAUCUAGCCUACAGUAUUGUACUUAACUUUUACAGGUGAGAAGAGUUCUGUGUUUGCAUUGAUUAUGAUAUUCUGAAUAAAUAUGGAAUAUAUUUUAA
rnacentral:sRNA from 1 species